rnacentral:rRNA from 1 species
UACGUAGGGCGCGAGCGUUGUCCGGAAUUAUUGGGCGUAAAGAGCUCGUAGGCGGCUUGUUGCGUCUGCUGUGAAAUCCCGGGGCUUAACCCCGGGCGUGCAGUGGAUACGGGCAGGCUGGAGGCAGGCAGGGGAGAAUGGAAUUCCCGGUGUAGCGGUGAAAUGCGCAGAUAUCGGGAGGAACACCGGUGGCGAAGGCGGUUCUCUGGGCAACAACUGACGCUGAGGAGCGAAAGCGUGGGGAGCGAACAGG